UCCUCUCCUGGUCCCCCUCCCGGGUCUCCUCCCUCUGGUCCCCCUCCCCGGGCUCCUCCCCGGGCCGGAACGGGACUUCGCCUGGGGUUUCCAGUGCUAACGCUGCCGUGGGUUGUUCACUUUUCCACGUAAAACGCAAAUCGGUUUGAAUUUAGAAUUAAGUUACAAGGUGGAUCUGCUGCCAGACCCUCCGCGAUGCAGAUCUCCCUGUCCCAAAGAGGAAAAAACAGUGAUGCAGCUGUGCAUGCUGGCAGCCUGAGACAGUGCGGGCAGUCAAAACCAAACCUCGGCAUGGCAGCAGGUCUUCGCCUCAGCAGAAAUAUUUUUUAUUAACUCCUAAAUCAGGUUUGAAAAUGAGUCCGUUUCAAGCAGGGAACUUGCAGGCUGUUUCAGUGAUACACGCAAACACUGAUACAUAAAAAUAUUUUUGACAUCUCAUGUGGAUACCACCUGAUGACACCAAACCCAAGACUUUUCUGUAAUAGGCACUUGUACAAGUGGGUCUCUAUACAUGAAUGCACAGGCACACAAAAUGUUAUUUGAAGCCGGAUUUACAGGAAAUCCUCGGCCAUUUUUGAAAACUGUUUUCCAUAAGUUCAAUUCAGCCCGUAUUUACUGUUCUGUACUGUGCUUGAAGUUGUAAUUAAAAAUAGGAAGACUAAAACGAGGGAAGGAGCUAGACUUUUAGAGAUGAAAGUUAGAUCAGCAAUUUUGAGAAGUGUGUAACACUUGCAACUUGAGGUUUAAAUUGUGAUUAAAAUUAGAACUUGUGAAAGUUUAAGGUAGCUGAUUCAUUGGACAUUGAAUUCUCGUUGUGUGUAAGAUAAACAGCUGCCUGUCAUCAAAAUGAGUUUGUAUCUGAAACUGGAAUUGAUGAAAGAAAUCUGCCCUAAUUAUUUUUAAGAAUCACAAUCUGGUCAUUUUUAACUAUGGCAAUAAAUGGAUCCUCACUGUUACUUAAGUUUGCUUGUAAAAUUAAAAUUUCUCCAGUGAA